AUGGAAUUAACUCUUUACUUACUACUUUGCGUGCUUUUUUAUUAUUCCUUGGUGCAGUUGCGAAAUCCACACAAUUCUCUCUUCACGUAUGGUUACCCGAUGCUAUGGAAGGACCCACUCCUAUUUCAGCUCUUAUACACGCCUUCUAGCUCGACUUCUUCCUCUUUUCACAUAUUUACCUUUGAUAAUGAGUUUUAUUACUUUAGUAGGUACAAUAACACUAUUCUUAGGAGCUAUUAA
rnacentral:rRNA from 1 species